AUGAUGUGCCUGGAGAGCGACGGCGGGGCGUCGGGCUGCGGCGGCCGCCUCCGCGCCUCGGCCGACGGCGAGGAGGAGCAGGAGGAGGAGGAGGAGGAGCGGGGCUGCUGCGGGCGCGGCGGCGAGGUGCAGACCCUCGCCGCCGCCGCCGCCGCCGCCCCCCGCGCGCCCGGCGGGGCCAAGAGCUCCAAGGCGGCCGCGGCGCCCGGCCUGGGCAGAGCCCGCGUGGCCGCCGCCGGCAUCCUCAGCGUGGGCAACGUCCUCAACUACCUGGACAGGUACACGGUGGCAGGGGUCUUGUUGGACAUCCAGCAGCACUUUGGAGUCAAAGACAGCGGAGCCGGCUUGUUGCAAACAGUUUUCAUCUGUAGCUUCAUGGUGGCAGCGCCGAUAUUCGGUUACCUUGGCGACCGUUUCAACCGAAAGAUUAUUCUGAGCUGUGGCAUCUUUUUCUGGUCAGCGAUCACUUUUUCCAGCUCCUUCAUCACAGAGCAGUAUUUCUGGCUCUUCGUCCUCUCACGAGGCUUGGUUGGAAUUGGCGAAGCCAGCUACUCGACCAUCGCCCCCACCAUCAUUGGAGAUCUCUUCACCAAAAACACCCGGACGCUGAUGCUCUCCGUCUUCUAUUUUGCAAUCCCCCUGGGCAGCGGUUUAGGGUAUAUCACUGGAUCAAGCGUCAAGCAAGUAGCCGGUGACUGGCACUGGGCCCUGCGGGUGUCUCCACUUUUAGGAAUGAUCACGGGGACUCUCAUCUUGAUAUUUGUUCCUGCUGCUAAGAGAGGCAAUGCUGAACAGCUGGGGGCGCAGUUGAAGGCUCGGACCUCCUGGCUGAGAGACAUGAAGGCCCUAAUAAGAAAUCGCAGCUACGUGUUCUCCUCCCUGGCUACCUCGGCCGUCUCCUUCGCCACGGGGGCUCUGGGGAUGUGGAUCCCCCUCUACCUCCACAGAGCACAGGUGGUCCAGAAAACAGCAGAGACCUGCACGUCGCAGCCCUGUGGGACCAAGGACAGUUUGAUUUUUGGAGCCAUCACCUGCUUCACCGGUUUCCUGGGUGUGAUCACCGGAGCCGGGGCUACCAAGUGGUGUCGGUUGAAAACUCAGCGAGCGGACCCUCUUGUGUGCGCCGUGGGGAUGCUGGGGUCAGCCAUCUUCACCUGUCUAAUCUUCGUCGCAGCCAAGAGCAGCAUCGUGGGAGCCUAUGUCUGCAUUUUCAUCGGCGAAACUCUCCUCUUCUCCAACUGGGCCAUUACAGCCGACAUACUGAUGUAUGUGGUCAUCCCGACACGCCGGGCUACAGCUGUGGCUUUGCAGAGCUUCACAUCACACCUUCUGGGAGACGCCGGGAGUCCCUACCUGAUUGGAUUUAUCUCCGACCUGAUACGCCAGAGCACAAAAGAGUCCCCGCUCUGGGAAUUCCUCAGCUUAGGCUACGCUCUCAUGCUGUGCCCUUUUGUCGUCGUCCUGGGGGGAAUGUUUUUCCUCGCUACGGCCCUCUUCUUCCUAAGCGAUCGAGCCAAAGCUGAACAACAUACAGAAACUGAUUUGGAUCACCUCCCUGUUGGCAACUCCAGUAACUCAGAAGGUUCUACCACAUGAUAGCCACAAGAGCUUUUUAGGGGGUAAAUCAACUCAUGAUGCCUCCAGCUUCCGUGAAAGUUUAAGGCGCUGCCAUCUCAGACGAUGAAGGAGACCUUUUGUGAUCUCCUGCUGCCGCAAGGCGUCGAAA